GACGAACGCUGGCGGCGUGCUUAACACAUGCAAGUCGAACGGAAAGGCCCUGCUUUUGUGGGGUGCUCGAGUGGCGAACGGGUGAGUAACACGUGAGUAACCUGCCCUUGACUUUGGGAUAACUUCAGGAAACUGGGGCUAAUACCGGAUAGGAGCUCCUGCUGCAUGGUGGGGGUUGGAAAGUUUCGGCGGUUGGGGAUGGACUCGCGGCUUAUCAGCUUGUUGGUGGGGUAGUGGCUUACCAAGGCUUUGACGGGUAGCCGGCCUGAGAGGGUGACCGGCCACAUAGGGACUGAGAUACGGCCCAGACUCCUACGGGAGGCAGCAGUGGGGAAUAUUGCACAAUGGGCGGAAGCCUGAUGCAGCAACGCCGCGUGCGGGAUGACGGCCUUCGGGUUGUAAACCGCUUUCGCCUGUGACGAAGCGUGAGUGACGGUAAUGGGUAAAGAGGCACCGGCUAACUACGU
rnacentral:rRNA from 1 species